rnacentral:misc_RNA from 1 species
UGCUACAUGUAAAUUUCAUCACCCUAGGGAUAAGGCUGGAAUUGCAGGAAGAGUUCAGUUAAAUAUACUAGGCUAUCCACUUCGUCCGAACGAGAAGGAGUGUGCAUACUAUUUAAGAACCGGGCAAUGUAAAUUUGGGAACACAUGUAAAUUUCAUCACCCUCAGCCGUCUAAUGCCAUGGUUUCUGUACGUGGUUCUGCUGUUUAUA